rnacentral:rRNA from 1 species
UACCAGCACCCCGAGUGGUCGGGACGAUUAUUGGGCCUAAAGCAUCCGUAGCCGGUUUUACAAGUCCCCCGUUAAAUCCAGCUGCUUAACAGAUGGGCUGCGGAGGAUACUAUAAGACUAGGAGGCAGGAGAGGCAAGCGGUACUCAGUGGGUAGGGGUAAAAUCCGUUGAUCCAUUGAAGACCACCAGUGGCGAAGGCGGCUUGCCAGAAUGCGCUCGACGGUGAGGGAUGAAAGCUGGGGGAGCAAACCGGGAUUAAGAA